GCCGGGCAUGGUGGUGCACGCCUGUAACCCCAGAGGCUCAGGAGGCUGAGGCAGGAAGGUCACAAGUUUGAGGCCAGCCUCAGCAAUGGUGAGGCACUAAGCAACUAAGUGAGACCCUGUCUCUA
rnacentral:sRNA from 1 species